rnacentral:lncRNA from 1 species
AUGUGUUGUUGCGGACCCAGGGUCACAGUGGUCAUUGGUGAAAUGGACAACUUCUUGGAAUGGCUCCAAUCACAAGGUCUGAGAGCAGAAACAGCCCAAGCAGUGAUCAAUAUACUUGGAAUUGAGAAUCGGAAGGUUCUUCAAGCUUGUACAGACUACGAUUCAUUGCGAACAGAGCUCCUCUCUCUCGCCAAAGAGAAAUUUAAAUUUGCAAUGUAUGCUGACUUCUGUAAAUUUGUGAAAUCUUUUUUGAAGCCGCAGGUUGUCCAGCUUGCAGGCUCUUCUCUGUUGGGAAGUUUAUUCGUCAACUUGGAGAAUGUUAUUCGCGAACUUUCCAGUUUCUGCCAAAAGUUUAUUGGAUUCCAAAAUGUGCAGCUGGAAAAUGUUCCUGGUUUUCGGGGAAUCUGUUUCAGUGAUGUCUGCAACCUCCAUAAUCAGGAUGAUGGAUUAACACCUAAGUCUGAUCAUCAAUCUCCUCUGAGUUAUCAUGGAUGUAGGUGCAACAUUCCGACCCUACAACUGCACAUGUGCCUCCCUUUGCAGCCAAUAAAACAUCAAAGACGGUGAGGCAAAAUGUGUCCAAUACCAAGGAGAGUGGUCAUGUCUUUCCCAUCUGCAGUCUCUUUUGAAUCUUCGUAAGUAAGCUCUAUUGCAACGAGAUGUCUGUGUCCAUGAUUUCUUACCUUCGCACUCGACAGCUGUGUGGUGAUGUGGAUUUUUCCUCCACCCCGUUAUGAUCAUUGAAGGAUUUUCCCUGGUUGAUUGUGGAAUCCUAUUUAACUUCAGACAGAGUUUAACGUUUGUCCGAUUUGGUUAUAAAAUCCUGCAUAAAACCCAUUGACACUGAUAACCGAUGUCCACACAAGUCCGGGGGGGGGGGGGGGGGGGGGGGGGGGGGGGGGGGGGGG